rnacentral:rRNA from 1 species
ACUCCUACGGGAGGCAGCAGUGGGGAAUUUUGGACAAUGGGCGAAAGCCUGAUCCAGCCAUGCCGCGUGCAGGAUGAAGGCCUUCGGGUUGUAAACUGCUUUUGUACGGAACGAAACGGCCUUUUCUAAUAAAGAGGGCUAAUGACGGUACCGUAAGAAUAAGCACCGGCUAACUACGUGCCAGCAGCCGCGGUAAUACGUAGGGUGCAAGCGUUAAUCGGAAUUACUGGGCGUAAAGCGUGCGCAGGCGGUUAUGUAAGACAGUUGUGAAAUCCCCGGGCUCAACCUGGGAACUGCAUCUGUGACUGCAUAGCUAGAGUACGGUAGAGGGGGAUGGAAUUCCGCGUGUAGUAGUGAAAUGCGUAGAUAUGCGGAGGAACACCGAUGGCGAAGGCAAUCCCCUGGACCUGUACUGACGCUCAUGCACGAAAGCGUGGGGAGCAAACAGGAUUAGAAACCCCUGUAGUCCCAUG